CUCAUUAGUAUCGUUAUUCAUACGUAAAAAAUCAGGCUGCUUUUGAGGUAAAGGUAAAGUUAUUAAGCUGCUCUGAGAACCAGAAUGGUUGUAAUGUAUACCAAGACCACGUCGACCAGAAAAUCGAUGAAAGGAAGAAGGAACUUUGUGUUUCCUGGCGCUCUUUCUUUUACUCCUCGUAUAAACGAGUUUGAUCCUAAGAUAUGCCUCGGGAUGCCUUUUUUUCAUAAAUAAAGGUAUUACGCUUUCAACAGUUCCAUGAGUGAAAAUAUCUUCCAAGGAAACACUAGCUUCUCCGACUACAAGAGGAAUUUUGUGCCCACGAAAUUGUAAGGUGACAUCUAAUUGCAUAGGGGUUGUAGAAGUAGUGAUAGGAAAAGCUACUGCAUUGCUCAUGCGAUGCUCUGGAAUAUCCAAAUGCGAUAAAGAGAUACUCUUCAUAGUUCCAGCGAGUUUGAAGAGGCAAUGAAAAGGUUUUUUCUCCCCAUGGUGUUUCGGAUUUUUGAAAAUCGAUUCAUAUUGCGUUCGAAAAACGAUACUUUUCCAACGGGGACUCCACUUCUCCCAUUGUUCAGGAGAGGCAUAAAUAUGUAGCUUUCCGAGUUCAGCGGAACUCAUUCAAAGCUCUUUGCCUGUCUAUAUACUCAAAAGCUUUCGAUGAAAGAUGGGAUGUACAAUGUAUACGGAGAGGCGGUAAGAGGAAAGAUAGGUCUAAGCAGCAAAUUUGCUAAUCCAAACGAAAAUUCGAAUACCAGCCAUCUGUAGUUAUCAGAUCGCUGACCCACAAAUAUGUUACCUUGAUCUGACUUAUCUAAAGUAGCAAAAUCAACACAAGAAACCUCGCUGUAAACAGAAAGGAUGUUGUUUGAUAAAUGUUAGAACAUUCCAAUAUGAUUUUCACGAUUAUAGGUUUUUAAUGAAGAUACCUUUUCACUCAGAUUGCUGGGUUUAGCUGGUAGAUGAUGAGAAAUAAAUUGGGAAAACUAAGAUUCAUCAUGAAUACAGACCUAAAUAUGUUUCAGCAAGUUUGAGUAUGCUUUUUAAGACAAAAGCAGUAAAUUCUUAACUUCACACUUCUCAAAUCAUAUCCUUUCUAUCUGAAACAAGCCAUUCCACUCAAAAUAAAUCCAGAAACUAUCUGUUUAAUAUUAUAGUAAGCCCAACUGAAUUAAGCACGGAUUUUUGAAAUAUAACAAUAUGUA